rnacentral:rRNA from 1 species
GGGGUGCAGCAGUGGGGAAUAUUGGACAAUGGGGGCAACCCUGAUCCAGCCAUGCCGCGUGAGUGAUGAAGGCCUUAGGGUUGUAAAGCUCUUUCAGCGGGGAAGAUAAUGACGGUACCCGCAGAAGAAGCCCCGGCUAACUUCGUGCCAGCAGCCGCGGUAAUACGAAGGGGGCUAGCGUUGUUCGGAAUUACUGGGCGUAAAGCGCACGUAGGCGGACUUUUAAGUCAGGGGUGAAAUCCCGGAGCUCAACUCCGGAACUGCCUUUGAUACUGGUAGGCUUGAGUUCGGGAGAGGUGAGUGGAAUUCCGAGUGUAGAGGUGAAAUUCGUAGAUAUUCGGAAGAACACCAGUGGCGAAGGCGGCUCACUGGCCCGAUACUGACGCUGAGGUGCGAAAGCGUGGGGAGCAAACAGGAUUAGAUACCCACGUAGUCCC